UGGGGAAUAUUGCACAAUGGGGGAAACCCUGAUGCAGCGACGCCGCGUGAACGAAGAAGGUAUUCGUAUCGUAAAGUUCUGUCCUAUGGGAAGAUAAUGACAGUACCAUAGAAGAAAGCUCCGGCUAAAUACGUGCCAGCAGCCGCGGUAAUACGUAUGGAGCGAGCGUUGUCUGGAAUUAUUGGGCGUAAAGGGUACGCAGGCGGUUUAAUAAGUCGAAUGUUAAAGAUCGGGGCUCAACCCCGUAAAGCAUUGGAAACUGAUAAACUUUAGUAGUGGAGAGGAAAGUGAAUUCCUCGUGUAGUGGUGAAAUACGUAGAUAUUAGGAGGAAUACCAGAAGCGAAAGCGACGUUCUGGACACAAGCUGACGCUGAGGUACGAAAGCGUGGGGGGCAAACAGG
rnacentral:rRNA from 1 species